AUUGGCCGGGUGUGGUGGCUCACGCCUGUAAUCCCAGCACUUCGGAGGCCGAGGUGGGCGGAUUACCUGAGGUCAGGAGUUCGAGACCAGCCUGACCAACAUCCUUGAAACCCCGUCUCUACUAAAAACUACAAAAAUUAGCCAGGCACGGUGGCAUGCACCUAUAGUCCCAACUACUCAGGAGGCUGAGGCAGGAGAAUCGCUUGAACCUGGGAGGUGGAGGUUGCAGUGCGCCGAGAUUGCAUGACUGCACUCCAGCCUGAGCGAGAGAGCGAGACUCUGUCAAAAAAAAAAAAAAAAAAAAUUUUCACCCAGAUUAAACAUUCUAAGGAAGAGCAGAGAAAAAUAAAUGAACCAAACAAAGAUUUAAAAAGUCAAUGGCUAACCUUGCUAAAAACAGUUUGCAUUUGGUAUUUUGCCAAGAGUGAACUUUGUUCUCAAGUGGGUUUAUUUUUACAACCUCCAAGUGCUAAAUUUAACCUUGUUGGCUGCACUUGCUGCUGGAUUCGGAGGGCAGAUGCUGCUUGUUCUCAAAUGGCACUUGGGUUGUGUGGAGGCUCUGCAUAGCCGCUGUACUUAAAUGCCAGAAAUAGAUUUUUAAGGGGUUUGUGCUGAUAACUGCCAUUUGGAACUUGUGGGUACACGCAUCAUGCUUACUCACUGGAUUUUUUUUUUUUUUUUUUUUUUUUAGAUGGAGUCUCGCUCUGUCACCCAGGCUGAAGUGCAGUGGCACGAUCUCAGCAGACUGCAACCUCCGCCUCCCGGGUUCAAGAGAUUCUCCUGCCUCAGCCUCCCAAGUAGCUGGAAUUACAGCGAAGCUCUGAACUAGGCCUCAUGGGGAUGGGGACAAAAGCUGAGAAACUACCUCUGGUGCAAUCCUUACCAUGAGCUCUUUGUAUAAUUCCAGCAUCUUACUGCCACAGAGGAAGAUGUGGGGCAGGCGGGUGUUUGAAGAAUGUGAAAUGCAGAUUUUCAUCCAGUUCUUGCAGAAAGCAACAAAGUCAAAGCCCUCCCAGGACCCAGACAAUGGGGAUUUUCAGGACAUACACUGGCUUUCACCUGAUUUGGAUCCAUGUAUAUACUGCCUUUUUAUUGAGACAGGAUCUCGCUCUGUGGCCCAGGCUGGAGUGCAGUGGAGUGAUCACAGCUCACUGCAGCCUUGAUCUCCCAGGCUCGACCUCCUGAGUAGCUGAAACCACAGGCAUGUGCUGCCACACCUGGCUUAUUUUUAUACUUUUUCUAGAGAUGGGGUUCCCAGGCUGGUCUCAAACUCCUGGACUCAAGUGAUCCUCCUGCCUCGGCCUCCCAAAGUGCUAGGACUAUAGGCAUGAGCUACCAUGCCUGGCCUAUAUACUGCCUUUUAAUAUGAGGCCUUUAUCCUGCUCUAAAAUUCUUUCCUGAUUUUUGAUUCUUGUAAAAUCUAGUUUAGCAAUGGGGUAGAGUAUUUCCUGAAUCCUCAGUGUUUUUCAAUAAAUUGGAAUUUCCUCUUCCUGUUUAAUUUCCUCUUAUAUCCCAGAGUCAUUGCUCACCAACUUCCUAAUGCACCUUGAGAGAACAUUAGGACUUUGCCGUACAGAAAUAGGGGGCAGAGACCAGGUCCCUAAGGGUGAGCUAGGACACUAACC
rnacentral:lncRNA from 10 species